GCCCGGCUAGCUCAGUCAGUAGAGCAUGAUACUCAUAAUCUCAGGGUCAUGGGUUCGAACCCAGUCUUUUUUGUGUAGACCUGGAGCG